GCUGCGCGCCGCCGUCCGUGAGAACUGAGUAAUUGAUCUCGCUAAUCUCAUCUAACGACCAGCUCACCUCAGAUAUUAUCACAAUGUAUGCGUGCAGUACAUUUGCCACCCGAUAAUUACAUAUUUAGAGCGUGGUCUUCUCUCCCGGACGAGAAGGACAGAUGGCCAGUUCAAGUUGGGGUAUUAUGGCUAUAUGGCCGUGAAGGUACACAAUGAUGAAGAUGUAUAAAUCACGGAUUAGGUAUUCCAAAGGUUAAGGAUAGCAGUGACGAUGUUCUCCUAUGCAUGAUAACGAAUAAAAAAGGAAAAAGGAGUUAAUUCAGAAAUAUGAGUUUUGUGUGGGAAAAAAUCCCUGUUCUCCUCCAUGAUUGCUUUGAGUGCGCUGUUUGCUGGUAUUAGGUGGCCUAAACGGGGUUUUAAGAAGAAAAGGGAACAUAUACUAAAAUGAAGAGUUAAGUUAUGGCCGUCUCUCCUAGAAUGGUAUGGUCAUCGGACACCUCGGAAGAGAUGGCCAAUUGUACUUUUUUUAACCUUUUUUUCAUUUUGAAGUUAAUAGAAAUAUUUUUAGUCUGUUUCAUUUUCGAAAAUCAAUUGAAUAAAGUAUAUAAUAAAAAUAUUA